UUCAGCCUUGCCUUGAGCAACUGCAGUGGCCAGCGAGCUUGUCACCACGGAGAGAUAACAUCAGAUUCCACAGAUUAAGGGCUCAGUCCUAGGAGACAAGUGCCUCCAUGCCCCCAACUUUGGACGCCAAUUGCAAUGGUUAUAAAAGGAUAGAACAGCAGAUGGAAGAGAUGCAUCGGGCCAGACACCAUCAUUAAGAAUCCUGAGUCUUGGGGCACCUGGGUGGCUCA